UCGACAUAGGCACCGGUGCAAAUGAUCACCCGGUACCAAAAACCGGCCUCUCGCUUCUCGAUAUUUCCAAGUCCCUGACGACUCCUCACUCUUAUCUCUACCCCUCUCAUUUCUCCACCUCUCAUCUCUCUCUGCCUUAUCCUCUCGCUGAAGAAGCCGGACGUGCGGGCAGCUAGCCGCUGCCGCGGAGCGCGCGGGCUCCGCUUGCCACAGAGCGCGAGGAGCUGCCGGGCGUGCGGGCACCUAGCCGCUGGCCGCUGCCGCCGCCAGGCGCUGCCGUGGUGCGCCGGCCGCCGCCGCCGCAGAGUGCGCGGGCUCCGCUUGCCGCCAUGCAGAAGAUCUUGGAGUUCGGCACCUCCGGUUAGGUCCCCAGCUUCAUAUCGGAAGCUAUCCAGGCAAGCUAUCUCAGCACGCGAGACGACCGUGGGAGCUAGCCCCCGUGGGGCGAGCAACUCUACCUGGCGGCAAGCGGGUCCACUCGGCGGCGAGCAACGGCGAGCGGAUCCGCGUGGCUGGCGCCGCGGGGCCGGCGAGAAGCUCCACACAGGAGCCGGCCAUGGGAGCUAGCCCCCGUGGGGCGAGCAGCUCUACCCGGCGGCGAGCGGGUCCACCCGGUGGCGAGCAACGACGAGCGGCGGGUGAGCCGCUCCGCGCGGCCGGCGAGGGCCUCUGCGGCGGCGAGCAGCUCCGCGUCGAGCCGUGAAGUGUGGGCGGCCGCCGAGGAGUCCCAGUGGGCGAGCGAGAAGCCGCCGCCGUGGGUGAUUUUUUUUUCUUUUUUCUUACUUUUUUGAAAUAGAGAUGCAUGUGGAAUUGUAUGGAUUGUAUCUAUCUUGUGAUCGAUUCUUCGAAUGAUUUGCGAAAUCUAUGGAUUGUAUCUAUAUUUUGUGGUU